rnacentral:lncRNA from 1 species
GAAGAGAGCAGGGGAAAUGAAGAUCAUGUAGCGAUUAUUAAGGAUUAUAGGGCAACAAUUGAAGCAGAGCUCAGCAAGAUUUGUGAUGGGAUUCUAAGCCUUCUAGAAUCACAUCUUAUUCCCUCAGCCGUAAUUGCUGAGUCUAAGGUGUUUUACCUCAAGAUGAAAGGUGAUUACCACAGGUACCUAGCUGAAUUUAAGACUGGACCUGGUAGGAAAGAGGCUGCAGAGAGCACUUUGUUGGCUUACAAAUCUGCUCAGGUCAGUCAUUACCGUGUUGUGUUUUCAAUUUUGCUCUUUCACAUGCAUGGAUACAUAUAUCAAUUAUUUUUUUCUUUUUUCUUCCCGUAAUAAUAUGUACUGAGUUUCCUUUUUGUUUUUUCUUUUGAUGUAGGACAUUGCUCUUGCUGAACUAGCUCCUACUCACCCAAUAAGGCUGGGGCUUGCUCUUAACUUCUCUGUCUUCUAUUAUGAAAUCCUUAACUCACCAGACCGUGCUUGCAAUCUU